rnacentral:sRNA from 1 species
GGCUGGUCCAAGUACAGUAGCGUUGAAAACGUAUUGAUCACAACCAGUUACUGAUUUCUCUUUUCCUUCACUACUCCAGUUGUUUACAUUGACUAGCAUAAA